rnacentral:rRNA from 1 species
UACGUAGGGGGCAAGCGUUGUUCGGAAUUACUGGGCGUAAAGGGCUCGUAGGCGGCCAACUAAGUCAGACGUGAAAUCCCUCAGCUUAACUGGGGAACUGCGUCUGAUACUGGGUGGCUUGGAUUCGGGAGAGGAAUGCGGAAUUCCAGGUGUAGCGGUGAAAUGCGUAGAUAUCUGGAGGAACACCGGUGGCGAAGGCGGCGUUCUGGACUGCAACUGACACUGAAAAACGAAAGCCAGGGGAGCAAACGGG